CAGACAGUCCUCCUGUGUGCUCAGUGCUGCUCUCUGCUCGUCUCUACUUCCCCCUGCAUGUGGACUCACCGUGAGGACAGAUGUUUAGAGAGAUCUAGUUUGACCACCUCGGAGCACUACUACGCCUAUUGUUUGUCCUGUGUGCUUUAUUCCGUGGGAUAUUAUUCAAGCAGAUCGCCAAAAUGUGCGUGCUCCAUGUAGCCUAGUGAAGGCUAUGUUAUGGACUCAACCCUAACCGACACGCAACGCAGUGUCGUGACCCCAGUGGGUUGGGAAAUGCACCAUGUUUAUACGCGCUAUGAGCAGGACAGUCAUGUCUGGCUUGGAGCACCGAUAAUCUGGACACUUCCGGGGAGCCCACUACCCGCUCUGUGGGCACCACUGCCAACUUGAAGGGGAAGAUGAGCAAGAGGCUGUCUGUUGUGAAAGGUCACUUCCCUAAGCUCGUUGACUGUGCCCACUUCCACUAUGACAAUGUGGAGUUUGGCUCCA
rnacentral:lncRNA from 1 species